rnacentral:rRNA from 1 species
UACGAAGGGGGCUAGCGUUGCUCGGAAUUACUGGGCGUAAAGGGCGCGUAGGCGGUUCAUACAGUCAGAUGUGAAAUUCCUGGGCUCAACCUGGGGGCUGCAUUUGAUACGUGUGGACUAGAGUGGGGAAGAGGGUCGUGGAAUUCCCAGUGUAGAGGUGAAAUUCGUAGAUAUUGGGAAGAACACCGGUGGCGAAGGCGGCGACCUGGUCCUUGACUGACGCUGAGGCGCGAAAGCGUGGGGAGCAAACAGG